GAGAGAGAGAGAGAGAGAGAGAGAGUUGUUUAGUCUCAUCUGAGAAAACAUUUUGAGUUUGGGUUUGCAGGUAAAGCCAUGGCGGAUAAUAUUGUUUUAAAGACCAUACUGAAAAGCGAGGCUCUUCAAAAGUACAUUUUGGAUACCAGUGCAUACCCAAGAGAACAUGAGCAGCUCAAGAGGCUAAGAGAUGCAACAUUCAAGAAAUAUGGCGACAGAGCGGAGAUAAGUGUGCCCCC